AAACCAUGAAGGCGUGUCAGAUCGUCUGCUCAACACGGAGAAGUGACAACGCCAAGUGUGGUGGCCAGAAUCGAUUAACAGCUAGCCUGUAGCGUAAAAAAACCGUGACCGAAUGCUGUGUUAGGCGACAGAAACUGCAGAGUGAAAUUGGUAAGAUGCCCCUGUCUCAGCGAUUCCGGACGCCAUAUCGAGAGAAAAACCAUAUGCGGUUUGAGUCAGGAAGAGAAACAGGAAACGAGGUUAGCGGCUUGAUGCAGAGAGAUGAUGCUGGUGACAUGUUGGAUUUGAUUGGUCGAUCACAGAAAUCCAGCCAAAUUCAAAUUCAGGGAAGUAAAAAGGCAGUGAAAGUAAAACUGACAAGAGCAAAAAAACCCAAGGCUAAAGUAGCCCACAAGAUAUGCUCAGAACCGAAAAGUUGUCUACGUAUGGAACAGAGAGAAUUCCAAAAGACACCUCUACAAGACUCUGAGAAUGCAGGUCUUACGCCACCAAGGCAAGAAAUACAGUCUUCCGAAAUAUAUGACUUCCCAGAAUCUCCAAACCAAGACAGACAGAAGGUGAAGCGUGACUUUAACAAAAGGUUAGCUGAACGUCAGGUAUUGAGAACGAUCCAAAAGAUGGCAGAGGAACUCAGAACUUUACGUCUGAGACAGCAGCACCUAAGACGAUCUUACCUGGAACUACUUGCUUAAUAAAAACUACAGAUCCUUGUCGAGAUCAUACCAGUGCUUUAACUGACAAACCUGACCUUCGAAUACCCCAGUUAAGUCCCGAUGUGUAUGCCAUUAUCCAUGUUGUUCGGCUUUGUGUUAUAGCUUGGGUAAGUAUGCACCAUUUACUUGUUGAUUUAAGAGGCUUGUUUAAUGCCUCUUUUAAGACAGAGGUUGUAAAUAAAAUAGGCCUAUAUUAGUAACUGGUUCGUUGACACUUUAAGGAAAUGACAAAUAUAGUUUAUGUAAAUGUGAAAUGUCGAAAAGAAGUAAAACAUUUGUGAGGCGACGUUUGUGCUGCGAUGGAGAAUUAACAUAAUAUUUACUUUUCCCUGCGUGAAGCUAAUUUAACUGUUCGGGUCACCUCACGACGUUUUCUCGAUCCAGUGACUGGAUGACAGUUUCGUUUUUAUGGACUUUAAACGUUUGCCUCACUGAACCGUGAACAUACACGUGACGUGCCACGUGCUUUUUGUAGCAUAUAAUAUGUACAUCUUCUCGAAAGUUCACGAAAAACUGUGAUAAUUUAAAGAUUUUAUAAAGACUACACGUUGUGUAAAACAACACGAUUUUAUUGAAGUAAAUGCCAUACAGAAUGUUUUCGCAAUGUUUUUCCGUGCAUUGACAGUGUGUUAAAUUACUGCGUGUUUUUGAUCUCAACAACUCGUUGGUUUAUUGUAACUACAGGAUAUGGUAUGAUUUCGAAGAGCUCCGCUAAAGUCUCUAAAGGGUCGCAUUCCCAAAUUCAGUUGCCACAGGAAACAGGCUGCGACAGAUCAGCGCAUAGAAAAGAAUUGGGUGUAGAAUUUAGACGGCCGAAGAAAAUCAAUCCCCGGCCCCUGAUGGACGCCUUCGCAGAAGAGUUUCCCUUAAAUUGAUGCAGGUGAUGUCUAUGUCACUUGAAGUAUACACAGUUUACACGGAGUGACUUUCAUAUACAUGAAUAUAUAUAAGGGUCGGUGAUCCAGUGUCAUCCAUGUCUAGUUUAAAUGUGUCAAGGAGACAACAUCUUGAUAAUGUACCGAAAUAACAUUGAAAUGACAGUAAACCCAAAGCAAAGAUACAAAGCAAGAGUUUCCUCUGCAAGCACAUUUACGAAUGAGCCUGACAUAAUAUGCUGUAUAUCUAGCUUAUGUAGAUGUAGCAUUAUAUUAGGCUCGUAUAUGUACACAUGCUCACCAAAAAUCACUUGUGUUGAAAUCUAUCGCAACAAUACAACAGAAACACAGAAAUGUGUUACCCCAAUACGAAAAGGUGUUAAAUAAAUAUGAAAUGCAAAUGUUUGUGUUGAACCAAAAUGAGGUAAUUUAUGCAAUACAACACGAACAACAACGUAUUUUGCAACAAGUAUUGUGUAUAACAUACAACACACCUUGUGUUCAAUUCUUUAAACUCAAGACCUUGUAUUAAUUCAACACAAGAUAGACAAGACUUUUGUUGGGAAGUUUGUGUUCAUACAGUACAACUUUUUUGUUGUUGUUUUUUUUUUUGUAUAUAUGCUCCCAUAAAAUCGAGUGUAUAAACUCUCUCUCAUAUUGUAUCGAUGGGAACUAUAAAGUAGUCACAAUUAUGGAUAAAGAGCUAAAAACCAUAUAUCUUAAACUGUAAAGGAUUGUCACUGACGUUUGUUAUAUCGGCCACUAACAGAAUUCGCAAUUACUAUGUACCCGUGCUCAUGUUUUUGAACUCUUUCGCUAAGUGGUCUAUUUAAGAGUGUUACGUCUUUAAAUAGAUUGUUUUUGUAAUGUGUGUUGUUGUAGUGUAGAGUUAAUACCUAUCAGGUUAAUCAUGAUGUGACAAGGCAUUUUUGUUAAAUAUUUCAUUCAUUUUGUAGAUGUCAGUCACAAACAAAACUCACUCAGUCUCAUCCACUGAAAAACAAAUGACAUAUCUUUUUGACCUUUGUAUACUGUAACAAUAUACUGACAUUGGCCGUGGGGCGCUUGUCUCCUUUAAACCACAGCUAAAAGCUUUCAACCACCUGCGGUACAGGGUUAUAUGCCACAUUGUGCGUAACUGUUUGACUGCGUAUAGGUGCAUAUCUACAUGCACCGACACGGGGACCCAUGACAAUUGUACUUUUUACCCCUCUGCCAAAAAUGGCCUAUAAGUGGCCUCCGUAGCCGAGGUGGUUAGCGUCCCAGUGCGGCGCGAUGACCCAGGAGCCGCUCACAAUUGCGGUCGCUGUGAGCUCCUGCUGGCUUCCUCUCCGACUGGUUCUGUCCAAUUUUUUCCCACCAUAAUGCUAGACACCGACAUAUAAGUGAAAUAUUCUUGAAUACGACGUAAAACACCAAGUAAAUAAAUAAUAACCAAGUGGUAUUGUCGCAGCGGUCCGCCUCAGUCCAGCUUUCGUCCACUUUGUUAUAAACACUCCAUCUCUUGACCACUUGUUUAUAGGUUUACCAAACUUGCACUACACGUACACGUAGGCACUGGGAAAAACCGUAUUGAUUGUCGGUGACUUUGGGCAAUUUUUUUCAUGUCAUCUUGGUCAAUAAAGAUAUAGGCUUUUUUGGAACACGCGUGUAAACGAUAGAUCUUAGAGUAUUUUUGAUCAAACUCUACCACAUGUGCACAUUGUCAUCAAAGGAACCCUAUUGCUUUUAAUUGACAUCAGCUUCUGUGAUCUAGUGUGUAGCGUGCCCGCGCAGCGCAAUGGCCCAGGAACCUUUCAUCAAUGCGGUCGCUGUGAGUUCAGGCCCAGCUCAUGUUAGCUUCGUCUCUGGUCGUAGGUGGGAAGGUCUGACAUCAACCUGCGGUUGGUCAUGGAUUUCCCCCGGGCUCUUGAACGCUUUUAACCAGGAGUACCAAAGUUAUACGACAUGUUCACACAGGCGUUUAAUUGGAUGAAAUCUUUUCAUAUUUGGUGUUCUUGGCCAAUGUUUUUCACGGUCAUUUAAUUUAUCUUUUGUGACAAGCAUGUUAUCGUGGUAGGAAUAUCUGUUGAAGCCUUAAAAUCAUUUUUAUCAACCUGGUGCUACACGUGCAGCUAAUCACAAAGAAUACUUUUGUUUUG